rnacentral:rRNA from 1 species
GAACUGAAGAGUUUGAUCCUGGCUCAGAUUGAACGCUGGCGGCAUGCCUAACACAUGCAAGUCGAACGGUAACGCGGAGAGCUUGCUCUCUGGCGACGAGUGGCGGACGGGUGAGUAACGCGUAGGUAUCUACCUUGAAGUGGGGGACAACCUGGGGAAACCCAGGCUAAUACCGCAUACGCCCUACGGGGGAAAGUGGGGGAUCUUCGGACCUCACGCUUCUAGAUGAGCCUGCGUCCGAUUAGCUUGUUGGUGGGGUAACGGCCUACCAAGGCGACGAUCGGUAGCUGGUCUGAGAGGACGAUCAGCCACACUGGGACUGAGACACGGCCCAGACUCCUACGGGAGGCAGCAGUGGGGAAUAUUGGACAAUGGGCGCAAGCCUGAUCCAGCAAUGCCGCGUGUG